rnacentral:rRNA from 1 species
AACCAGCCAUGCCGCGUGCAGGAUGACGGUCCUAUGGAUUGUAAACUGCUUUUGUACGAGAAGAACAUCCCGACGUGUCGGGACUUGACGGUAUCGUAAGAAUAAGGAUCGGCUAACUCCGUGCCAGCAGCCGCGGUAAUACGGAGGACCCAAGCGUUAUCCGGAAUCAUUGGGUUUAAAGGGUCCGUAGGCGGUUUAGUAAGUCAGUGGUGAAAGCCCAUCGCUCAACGGUGGAACGGCCAUUGAUACUGCUAGACUUGAAUUAUUAGGAAGUAACUAGAAUAUGUAGUGUAGCGGUGAAAUGCUUAGAGAUUACAUGGAAUACCAAUUGCGAAGGCAGGUUACUACUAAUGGAUUGACGCUGAUGGACGAAAGCGUGGGUAGCGAACAGGAUUAGAUACCCUGGUAGUCCACGCCGUAAACGAUGGAUACUAGCUGUUGGGGGCAACUUCAGUGGCUAAGCGAAAGUGAUAAGUAUCCCACCUGGGGAGUACGUUCGCAAGAAUG